UUCUUAUCUCGUUUUGGGCCGGAGGCCUCUAUUGCAAACAUGCUCCGCCAGAUCAUUGGUCAGGCCAAGAAGCAUCCAAGCUUGAUUCCCCUCUUUGUAUUUAUUGGAGCAGGAGGUACUGGAGCAGCACUGUAUGUGAUGCGUCUGGCAUUGUUCAAUCCAGAUGUCAGCUGGGACAGGAAGAAUAAUCCAGAACCCUGGAAAAAACUGGGUCCUAAUGAUCAAUACAAGUUCUACUCAGUGAAUGUUGAUUACAGCAAACUGAAGAAAGAAGGCCCAGACUUUAAAUGAAACAUUUCACUGUAAAGCUGCUUAUGAUAAAGGUCUUUGAGAAGCAUCUGCACA